rnacentral:rRNA from 1 species
UAGGGAAUAUUAGAAAUGGACGAAAGUCUGAUCUAGCAACACCGCGUGUGCGAAGAAGGCCUUCGGGUCGUAAAGCACUUUUUGGAAGGAAUAGGAAGGAAUGUACUUCCAGAAUAAGUCUCGGCUAACUACGUGCCAGCAGCCGCGGUAACACGUAGGAGGCAAACGUUAUCCGGAUUUACUGGGCGUAAAGCGCGUGUAGGUGGUUCUGUAGUAGGGCGUGAAAGCUCCUGGCUCAACUGGGAGAGGCCGUUCUAAACUGCAGAGCUAGAGGAUGGUAGAGGGAGGUGGAAGUCCGGGUGUAGCGGUGGAAUGCGCAGAUAUCCGGAGGAACACCAGUGGCGAAAGCGGCCUCCUGGACCAUUCCUGACACUCAGGCGCGAAAGCUAGGGUAGCAAACU